rnacentral:tRNA from 1 species
CGGCCCGUGGACGAGUUUGGAGUUUAAAGCGACCCCAUGUAUGGGGUGCUAGGGGUCGAGUGUUCGAAUCACUCCGUGCCGACCA